AGUGAACGCUGGCGGUAGGCCUAACACAUGCAAGUCGAACGGCAGCGCAGUAAGAGCUUGCUCUUACGGGUGGCGAGUGGCGGACGGGUGAGGAAUACAUCGGAAUCUACUUUUUCGUGGGGGAUAACGUAGGGAAACUUACGCUAAUACCGCAUACGACCUACGGGGGAAAGCAGGGGAUCUUCGGACCUUGCGCGAUUGAAUGAGCCGGUGUCGGAUUAGCUAGUUGGCGGGGGAAAGGCCCACCAAGGCGACGAUCCGUAGCUGGUCUGAGAGGAUGAUCAGCCACACUGGAACUGAGACACGGUCCAGACUCCUACGGGAGGCAGCAGUGGGGAAUAUUGGACAAUGGGCGCAAGCCUGAUCCAGCCAUACCGCGUGGGUGAAGAAGGCCUUCGGGUUGUAAAGCCCUUUUGUUGGGAAAGAAAAGCAGCAGGUUAAUACCCCGCUGUUCUGACGGUACCCAAAGAAUAAGCACCGGCUAACUUCGUG
rnacentral:rRNA from 1 species